GGAGGCUUGUGGUCAGGACGGUCGCUGCCGCGGCGCCGGCGCCGGUCCCGUUCGACCCGGCGGUGGCGGUGCUCAGAGCGCCGCCGCGUGUCCCAGCGGUAUUCGUGCCCGUCGCCGACAGGCGGAGCCUGUCCGUGGGGCAGACACUGUCCAAGAUCAAGGAGCGGGGCAAGGUAGUACUCCAUCGAUUCUUGCGUGAAUGCAUGCCUGCAGACGGCGUUCACCCCGUACAUCACCGCCGGUGAUCCCGACCUGGCGACCACGGCGGAAGCGCUCAGGCUCCUAGACGCCUGUGGCGCCGACGUCAUCGAGCUCGGCGUGCCCUUCUCGAACUCCUACGUCGACGGGCCGGUCAUCCAGGCCCCCGCAGCACGGGCGCUGGCGUCCUGCACGACGAUCGACGCCGUGCUGUCGAUGCUGAAGGAGGUAACGCCGGACCUGUCCUGCCCGGUGGUGCUCGUCUCGUACCUGCGCCCAAUCGUGCGGCGGGGCGCGGCCAACUUCACCGCCGCUGUCAAACAGGCCGGUGUGCAAGGUCUUAUAGUGUCCGAUCUUCCUUAUACCGAGACAUGUCCAUUCAGAAAUGAAGCCAUCAAAAAAUCAGUUUAGCUACACAUCAGUUAGCUGAUUCGAAUUCGGCCUUAGUCGAUUUUUUGAUGAAGGAGAAGGAAGGAGAAAGCAAAGCCUCGCCGGAAAGAAGGAAGGGGCUCGCCGUCAUCACCCCAGUAUCUUAGGGUUCAGGGUGGAGGCGGUGGUGGACGGUGAUGGUGGGGAGCAGUGGUGUGGGGAUUCGCCGGAGAAAAAGUUCAGCACGGGGGCCCUAGAGGGAUGGCCGGAGCGGUGGAGGACCGGCGGUGGGGAGUGGUUCCGGGGAGCGCGGAGCGGCGAGGCGGCGCGGGGGCCGACGGUUAGGCCGGUGGUGGCUGGCGGCUCAGGGAAGGAGAUGAGUCGAGAGGAUGAAGAAGAUCAUGGGCCAUUGAUUUCUCAUCCAACAGUUCAAGAAUCGAUUGACCUCAAACGAAAAUUUUCAGCUAAUUGAUUUCUAGCCACACCCAUAGAAAAUAACCUAGAGCUUGUUUGUGUUCUCCCUCUUCAGCAAUGUACAGUAUCUGAAACAAAACGGAGCAGGAUUUGUAGUGCCAACCAUUAAUAAUUUUCUAUUUGAAUUAAUGUUUUCAGGUGCUACUUACAACACCAGCCACACCAGCAGAGAGGAUGAAAAAAAUCACUAAUGCCUCAGAAGGCUUUGUUUACCUUGAAAGUGUCAAUGGAGUUACAGGUCUACGAGCAACAGUGAACCCACGUGUCAGAGACCUUCUAAGGAGAUUAAGCAUGUUCGAACAAAUAAUAAUAAAAUUCAUCCCUUUUGUCAACGAUCUUGUCAAAAUUAUCGUCCUGCAUAUACUCAUGCAUGUCUGCAUAUAUGCUCAAAUGGUUUUCCCUAUUGUCUGCAGGUCACUGACAAAGCAGUGGUUGUUGGCUUUGGUAUAUCAACACCUGAUCAUGUUAGACAGAUUGCUUAGUGGGGUGCAUAUGGGGUGAUCGUUGGUAGUGCAAUGGUGAAACAACUGGGUGAAGCGGCUUCUCCGAGAGAAGGGUUGAAGAGGCUAGAAUUCGCCAGGAGCCUGAAGGAUGCGCUACAAUAAUAUGUGUCGUGGUUUUGUCACGGCAGAUGCCCUUGCAAAAGGAUUUAGGUGUGAAGCCAUCGCAACGUAGGUUAGCUCGAAGGGGUUGAACGGAACGAGAGACACGAGUUUACCCAGGUUCGGCCCCUCACUCACGAGGGUCUCACCUUGAUAUACACAGGUCGAGGCCCUUGGCUUACAAGAGUCCUAAUCGGAUCACACGACGUGACCAACUCGGGUUAUAAGCCACCUUGCGUUGCUAGGCAAGUCGCCAUGUGGCGGCUCACAUCUCCGGGUUACAGCACCCCCUCUGGGUCUUGGGCCUUUAAUAGGCCCGCCUUGUAAGCCGCCUCCAGUCUUCAUAUCUCAUCUUCAUAGGCCCACUUAAGCCCUUACUAUUGAGUCACCAAUAGUGUAACCCGGCCCCACCUGGGCGGGUCACAUCACGGGGUUAUAUCCCCAACAAUAUGUAAUGUGGAAGCAUAGUUCAUUCCCUACAAUGCCAUGAUAUGUGAAAAUAAAGGCAGUGAAUGGUUUUAGGUUUGUGGUCAAGUAUGAAAGGUUAGAAGUAAUAGCAUUGCCUAACACUAGUUUGCUCUGUUUUUUUUCGGGGGAAGCUACUCUAGAAGUGCAACCAAAGCCACUCAAUCAUUUGCUUUGUUGGAGUUGCAAAGGGUUUGUUUAUGAGCCCUUACGAAUUGAUUGUAAUAUAUUGUUUCAUGUGCUCGUAGUAAUCAUGUAUUAAUGUGGUAGAAAGCACACACGCUUCGGGUCUUACGUCCAUAUCAUAUUUGUAAUUUAAAGAGGAGUAGGAUUGCUCACAGUGGUGUGCCCGAUCAAUCAAGCCCCUCAUGCCUUGGGAAAGUAUCAAAUCAUCCUCCAAGCUAUUCCCAGAAGGCGGGUUUGGCUACUGAAAGGGAGCAACAUGGAACUCCUGUUGAUCAAGACGAAGGACAAAGGUCGCCUAACAGUGACUCCGAGGAGUAUCUCAAGGAAGGAGCUACAAACAUGAUCUUUUACCUUGCUAUAAAUUUUCAUAGGGAGAUGAUCAUAUGUUCUGUAAACAUUCAGAAAGAAAUGUUGGCAUAGAACAAACCUGACUAGGUAUACCAUAUGAACUGCAUACAUCAUUACAAAGAGUU